rnacentral:rRNA from 1 species
ACGAACGCUGGCGGCAGGCCUAACACAUGCAAGUCGAACGCCCCGCGAAGGGAGUGGCAGACGGGUGAGUAACACGUGGGAACGUACCCUUCGGUUCGGGAUAACUCAGGGAAACUUGAGCUAAUACCGGAUACGUCCGAGAGGAGAAAGAUUUAUCGCCGAGGGAUCGGCCCGCGUCUGAUUAGCUUGUUGGUGAGGUAACGGCUCACCAAGGCGACGAUCAGUAGCUGGUCUGAGAGGAUGAUCAGCCACAUUGGGACUGAGACACGGACCCAAACUCCGUACGGGAGGCAGCAGGUGGGGAAUAUUGGACAAGUGGGCGCAAGCCUGAUCCAGCCAUGCCGCGUGAGUGAUGAA